rnacentral:rRNA from 1 species
GAUGAACGCUGGCGGCGUGCCUAAUACAUGCAAGUCGAGCGAACGGACGAGAAGCUUGCUUCUCUGAUGUUAGCGGCGGACGGGUGAGUAACACGUGGAUAACCUACCUAUAAGACUGGGAUAACGUCGGGAAACCGGAGCUAAUACCGGAUAAUAUUUUGGACCGCAUGGUUCAAAAGUGAAAGACGGUCUUGCUGUCAGUGAUAGAUGGAUCCGCGCUGCAUUAGCUAGUUGGUAAGGUAACGGCUUACCAAGGCAACGAUGCAUAGCCGACCUGAGAGGGUGAUCGGCCACACUGGAACUGAGACACGGUCCAGACUCCUACGGGAGGCAGCAGUAGGGAAUCUUCCGCAAUGGGCGAAAGCCUGACGGAGCAACGCCGCGUGAGUGAUGAAGGUCUUCGGAUCGUAAAACUCUGUUAUUAGGGAAGAACAUAUGUGUAAGUAACUGUGCACAUCUUGACGGUACCUAAUCAGAAAGCCACGGCUAACUACGUG